GGCGGCAUGGCCAAGUGGUAAGGCGGGGGACUGCAAAUCCUUUAUCCCCAGUUCGAAUCUGGGUGUCGCCUAAUCAACAAA
rnacentral:tRNA from 9 species